rnacentral:rRNA from 2 species
UAGGGAAUCUUCGGCAAUGGACGAAAGUCUGACCGAGCAACGCCGCGUGAGUGAAGAAGGUUUUCGGAUCGUAAAACUCUGUUGUUAGAGAAGAACAAGGACGUUGGUAACUGAACGUCCCCUGACGGUAUCUAACCAGAAAGCCACGGCUAACUACGUGCCAGCAGCCGCGGUAAUACGUAGGUGGCAAGCGUUGUCCGGAUUUAUUGGGCGUAAAGCGAGCGCAGGCGGUUUCUUAAGUCUGAUGUGAAAGCCCCCGGCUCAACCGGGGAGGGUCAUUGGAAACUGGGAGACUUGAGUGCAGAAGAGGAGAGUGGAAUUCCAUGUGUAGCGGUGAAAUGCGUAGAUAUAUGGAGGAACACCAGUGGCGAAGGCGGCUCUCUGGUCUGUAACUGACGCUGAGGCUCGAAAGCGUGGGGAGCAAACAGG